rnacentral:rRNA from 1 species
GAUGAACGCUGGCGGCAUGCCUAAUACAUGCAAGUCGAGCGGACAGAACGGAAGCUUGCUUCUGUUCGGUUAGCGGCGGACGGGUGAGUAACACGUGGGUAACCUGCCCGUAAGACCGGGAUAACUCCGGGAAACCGGGGCUAAUACCGGAUAACACCGAAGACCGCAUGGUCUUUGGUUGAAAGGUGGCUUUUGCUACCACUUACGGAUGGGCCCGCGGCGCAUUAGCUAGUUGGUGAGGUAACGGCUCACCAAGGCGACGAUGCGUAGCCGGCCUGGGAGGGUGACCGGCAACACUGGGACUGAGACACGGCCCAGACUCCUACAGGAGGCAGCAGUAGGGAAUCUUCCGCAAUGGACGAAAGUCUGACGGAGCGACGCCGCGUGAGCGAAGAAGGUCUUCGGAUCGUAAAGCUCUGUUGUUAGGGAAGAAGAAGUACCGCUCGAAUAGGGCGGUACGGUGACGGUACCUAACGAGAAAGCCCCGGCUAACUACGUGCCAGCAGCCGCAGUAACAC